GCCACGGUAGCUCAGUUGGUUAGAGCACGGGACUCAUAAGCCCGGGGUCGCUGGUUCGAUUCCAGCCCGUGGCACCA
rnacentral:tRNA from 1 species